AGGUGCUGGAGUGGAAAAAAAUGAGAAGCUGGCCAUGCACUGGUUCAGGCAGGCAGCAGGACAGGGCCACCCAUACUCCUCCUUCAACCUGGCACUGGGAGCUCUCAGCAACAUGACGGCAGCACUGGAGGAAAGGGAAGUGGAAAAACUCCUUGGUGUGGCUGCAGCCCAUGGGCUCCGAGAAGCUCAGGAACUUCUGGAGAACAUUCUCAAGAGCAGAAAGCUGCCCUGAAUAACUGCACCAGCCU